rnacentral:rRNA from 1 species
UGGGGAAUAUUGGACAAUGGGCGAAAGCCUGAUCCAGCCAUGCCGCGUGUGUGAAGAAGGUCUUCGGAUUGUAAAGCACUUUAAGUUGGGAGGAAGGGUUGUAGAUUAAUACUCUGCAAUUUUGACGUUACCGACAGAAUAAGCACCGGCUAACUCUGUGCCAGCAGCCGCGGUAAUACAGAGGGUGCAAGCGUUAAUCGGAAUUACUGGGCGUAAAGCGCGCGUAGGUGGUUUGUUAAGUUGGAUGUGAAAUCCCCGGGCUCAACCUGGGAACUGCAUCCAAAACCGGCAAGCUAGAGUAUGGUAGAGGGUGGUGGAAUUUCCUGUGUAGCGGUGAAAUGCGUAGAUAUAGGAAGGAACACCAGUGGCGAAGGCGACCACCUGGACUGAUACUGACACUGAGGUGCGAAAGCGUGGGGAGCAAACA